UAUAGGUUUUAAAGGCAUAGAAGCCCAUUAAAAACACAUUCAGAGACAUACUAUAGGGGUAUAUAUACAAGACAUAGACUGGAAUUGCAAAGAAAGCUGAUAGCAAUCCUCAAACCGAGUUGCCUCGAGAAGUAUUCCAAGCCUACAAAAGGUGCACAGGUGGUAGAAAAUUGAUAUCAGGCGUGCACAUGCCCCAAAGAGCCAGCAACAACCUAACCAAGCUUUUCAAUAAUGAUCCUUCCGCAGGUUCACCUACGGAAA
rnacentral:misc_RNA from 1 species